ACAUAACCAAGUCCAAUACUUACAUCGUCUGCAGUGACUUUCUGCAGUAGACCUUCGGGAGCCAUGUCUGCCUUUGUGACAACAGCCAGAGUCCGUUUACCGGUUUUGUCAACUUGUCUGGACAUUCGAAUUGAUUCGCAGGUGGUGAAGUCGACUGUGGCUGACAGAACAUUCAGGAUGAUGGACUCUUGUGGCUUAAUGUACUUCAUAAUCAUCCCUGAAAUCUGCUCAUAGAUGUUUUCCGGCUGUCCAUUCACUGGAACUCGAGUUAUCCCGGGAAGAUCGACCAUGGUAAGAUCGGGAACACCAGCUUUCUUGACAUGAAGGGUCAAGGGAGUGUCUGAGACCCCUUUACCAGAUCCUGCAGUACAGGUAUUUUCAGAUGGACUUAUCAUAGUCAGAAAAUGGUAAACUCUUAGAAGAACACGCAACACUCCGAGGUCAUAUAGCAAACUAGUGUAGUUAACAACAUGAAACACUUCUAGGCAAUAGUAUUUAGGUAUAUUUCCACAUUUAGUUUCAGAGACUUCUAUGGUAAGUAUAUAACUUUUUUCUAAUGCCCAUGUUUCAGAAAAAUUUCUCAUUCACUGUAAUCUCUCUUGCAUUUAGUAUAAUCAAAACUGUUAGUGUGAAAUACGCAGAAUUUUGAAGUUUCAUCAUAUAGCAAAACUAGUCUAAUAGCAUGAAAAAUAUAAAAUCAGUAGUGACCUAACUAGUAAUUCCAGAAUGAAUUAUCACGUCUAGCAUUUGUAUUCAAGUUUUAGUGUACACAUCUAGUGUCAGGGACAUGUAUGGUAAGUAGAUAACUUCUUAUUAAUUUUCCUAUGUUUCAGAUUAAGGUCUCAUUCACGGUAAUUUCUCUUGCAGGAUUGCAGCAAAUAUACACUUAACACAAAAUGAGAGAGAAAAGAGAGACAGGACAUACCAGCGAUCACAUCAGUUGCAGUGCUAAUAGCUUCAGCUAUGUGUUCCUCGUCCGUAGGAACAACUUUGUCGCUAUACUCCAGCCAGAUCUCAGGUUCAGGGCUAGAACUUCUCUGGAGUCUCAUCACAAGAGGAACCCUAGUGCAUAUUCCUUGCCCACGAGGCAAACUGAUUCCUGCCAAGGACUCAAGAACACUCGACUUCCCCGAGGAUUGGUCUCCAACGACAACAAUGGUGGGAAGCUGGAUCCCUUCUCUCAUCACAUUCAGGUUCCUCAACCUGUCCACAGUGUCAAGCAACGGCCUGAUCCGAUCAUUGUAA
rnacentral:lncRNA from 1 species